rnacentral:rRNA from 1 species
AGCGAACGCUGGCGGCAGGCCUAAUACAUGCAAGUCGAACGGCUCUUCGGAGCAGUGGCGGACGGGUGAGUAACGCGUGGGAAUGUGCCCUUAGGUACGGAACAACACAGGGAAACUUGUGCUAAUACCGUAUGUGCCCUUCGGGGGAAAGAUUUAUCGCCUUUGGAGCAGCCCGCGUUGGAUUAGGUAGUUGGUGAGGUAAAGGCUCACCAAGCCGACGAUCCAUAGCUGGUCUGAGAGGAUGACCAGCCACACUGGGACUGAGACACGGCCCAGACUCCUACGGGAGGCAGCAGUAGAGAAUCUUGCGCAAUGGGCGAAAGCCUGACGCAGCCAUGCCGCGUGUAUGAUGAAGGUCUUAGGAUUGUAAAAUACUUUCACCGGGGAAGAUAAUGACGGUUCCCGUAGAAGAAGCCCCGGCUAACUUCGUGCCAGCCGCCGCCGUAA